AAACCAACAGGGAUUGCCUCAGUAACGGCGAGUGAAGCGGCAAAAGCUCAAAUUUGAAAUCUAACACUUUCAGUGUUCGAGUUGUAAUUUGAAGAAAGUUUCUCUGAGUAGUCCUUUAUCUAUGUUCCUUGGAACAGGACGUCAUAGAGGGUGAGAAUCCCGUAUGAUUUUGGAUACUAUUCUUUGUGAGAUUCUUUCGAAGAGUCGAGUUGUUUGGGAAUGCAGCUCUAAGUGGGUGGUAAAUUCCAUCUAAAGCUAAAUAUUGGCGAGAGACCGAUAGCGAACAAGUACAGUGAUGGAAAGAUGAAAAGAACUCUGAAGAGAGAGUGAAAAAGUACGUGAAAUUGCUGAAAGGGAAGGGCUUUAGGUCAGACUUGGUGUUUAAAUGAUUAUCUUCUCUUUUUGAGUUGUGCACUCGUUUUCACUGGGCCAAUAUCAGUUUUUGUGGUAGAGCACCUAUGGAAUGUAGCUUUUCUUCGGAUGAGUGUUAUAGCCUUUAGACGAUCUU
rnacentral:rRNA from 1 species